UUCGGGUCUAGUGGCGCACGGGUGCGUAACGCGUGGGAAUCUGCCCUUAGGUACGGAAUAACUCAGAGAAAUUUGUGCUAAUACCGUAUGAUGUCGAAAGACCAAAGAUUUAUCGCCUAAGGAUGAGCCCGCGUAAGAUUAGCUUGUUGGUGAGGUAAAAGCUCACCAAGGCGACGAUCUUUAGCUGGUCUGAGAGGAUGAUCAGCCACACUGGGACUGAGACACGGCCCAGACUCCUACGGGAGGCAGCAGUGGGGAAUAUUGGACAAUGGGCGAAAGCCUGAUCCAGCAAUGCCGCGUGAGUGAUGAAGGCCUUAGGGUUGUAAAGCUCUUUUACCAGGGAUGAUAAUGACAGUACCUGGAGAAUAAGCUCCGGCUAACUCCGUGCCAGCAGCCGCGGUAAUACGGAGGGAGCUAGCGUUGUUCGGAAUUACUGGGCGUAAAGAGUACGUAGGCGGUUAUUCAAGUCAGAGGUGAAAGCCUGGAGCUCAACUCCAGAACUG
rnacentral:rRNA from 1 species